rnacentral:lncRNA from 1 species
GAUCUUGGCCUUUGGGAGAGUCUGAGCCCAGUUCUCCUGGUUCUUUGUUUCCACUAUCCCACAAUCUACCCUGAGACCAGAGACAGUGUUCUUUCUCUUCUUUUCUUUUCUUUUCCUUUCCUUUCUUUUUUCUUUUCUUUUCUUUUUCUCUUCUUCUCCUUCUUCUUCUUCUCCUCCUCCUCCUCCUUCUCCUCUCCCUCCUUCUACCUUCUUCUCCUCCCCCUCUUCUUCCUUCUUCCUUCUUCCGUCCUCCUCGUCCUCCUCCUCCUCCUCCUCCUCCUCCUCCUCUUCUUCUUCUUCUUCUUCUUCUUCUUCUUCUUCUUCUUCUUCUUCUUCUUCUUCCUCCCAGUAGAGGGUCACACAGGGCUUAUAUGCUUUGGAAAAUAUUUGGAUCACUGAGUCCCACUCCUUCCCUUUACAAAUGGGAAGUGAGAUCUGGUGAAGUUAAAUGACUCGACUAAGGCCACACAACAAGAAAAAGCAUUUAUUAAAUUCUUCCUAUGUUCCAGAUCUGCUAAGCACUUGGAAGUCCAAAGAAGGACCAAAACAGUUGCUGCCCUCAAGGAGGGACUAGUCUAAUGGGUCAGACAGCAUGCAAACAACUAUAUACAAACAAGAUAAAGAGGAGAUAAAUUGGAAAAUUACUUCAGCGAAAAGGCACUAGCAUUAAGGAGCAUCAAAAAAGGUUUCUUGCAGAAGACAAAAUACAACUAGUAAAUAUUUCAGGCAGGAUUCAAUCCCAGAGCUCUAUCCAUUAUAUGACUAUCAUCUUCAAAUAUUUGAAGCCACCACAAGCUUGGCCCCAGAAAGCAGAAUUAUGAGCAAUGCUGGGAACGUUGGAGAGAGUCAGCGCCUUGACAUGACAUAAGGAAAACUUUACUAGCCAUCAGAGCUAUCCAAAAGUAGAAUGGGUUGGCUCUGAUGGCAGUGAGCUCCUCGUCCCUGGAGGUCUUCAAGCAAAGGCUGGAAUGAUCACUUGUCAGGGAUACUGUAGUGGGGGGGGGGGUCCUCUUUGGAGGAAGUUGGACAAGAUGAUCUUUGAGGCCCUAGUCUAACUCUGAGAUGUUCUAUCUCAGCAGGGCUGAGUACACAGUAGGUGUUUAAUAAAUAUCUGUGAGUGGAUUCCCUGGCA